rnacentral:rRNA from 1 species
AGUGAACGCUGGCGGUAGGCCUAACACAUGCAAGUCGAACGGCAGGACACUAAUAUCUUGCUCUUCUCGGUUGCGAGUGGGGGGCGGGUGAGGGAUAUAUCCGACUCUACUUUUUUGUGGGGGUUAACGUAGGGAAACUUACGCUAAUAUCUCAUACGCCCCUCGGGUUUAAGGAUGGGAUCUUUUCACCUUUUGCGAUUGAAUUAGCCGAUGUCGGAUUAGCUAGUUGGCGGGGUAAAGGCCCACCAAGGUGACGAUCCGUAGCUGGUCUGAGAGGAUGAUCAGCCACACUGGAACUGAGACACGGUCCAGACUCCUACGGGAGGCAGCAGUGGGGAAUAUUGGACAAUGGGCGCAAGCCUGAUCCAGCCAUACCGCGUGGGUGAAGAAGGCCUUCGGGUUGUAAAGCCCUUUUGUUGGGAAAGAAAAGCAGCAGGUUAAUACCCCGCUGUUCUGACGGUACCCAAAGAAUAAGCACCGGCUAACUUCGUG